GUGCUCACUGCAAGUACAGAGGAUGCCCUUGUCAAGGUGUUUAAUGACAUCCAUUUAGGUAAAUGCAUAUUGUGGAAAAACCACAGUGCAUGUAUUAUUGAACCUCAGUGCAGCAUUUGGUACUGUUGAUCACUCCAUUUUGUCACAGCACCUGGAAAAUGGGUCGGCCUUUAUGGUACAGCACUUGACUGUGUCAGGGUUCUCUGUGUGUUGGUGCUCUAACUCUGCUCCACAGGUGGUUCUAGUAAGCCGAGGGGCGUGGCCCACACCUGCGGCUCGUUGGAGCAGUAAUUCACUGGCGUGUUAAGGAAGGCACAGACAGAUGGAAGAUGCCAGAGCCUUACCCAGUCGUGUUUGGCUUUUUGGAUACUUACCCGCCUUUACUUCUCAUUCGACGAACCAGCCUCUCGUGAAUCAGCUAUGCUCAGAUGUUGCUCUGGCAUUCCUCCUCCUACUCCCUUGGCGUUACCAAGUCGGGCUCGAGGUUUCCCCUCCCUGGAUUCUGCUGGUUCCCUCCGUUCUCUGGUUAAUCCAUCUGUCACCUUUUGCCGUGGUUCGCUCCGGUUCCCUCGCCGACUUACCAUCAGCCCGCCCUCCUGUUGCUAGCCACCUGUUUGCCAUCGUGAGCAUUCGACUCCAGAGUUCCCCCGGCAAUACUUUCCCGGUUAGAUCAGCCCAACUAAAUGUUUCUCCAGCAUUGACGUUCAGACCUCGAUAGAUCCAGUCUACUGUGUCGUUCUCUGCAGCCUGAACUUAAAUAAACAUCUUAAACUGC